rnacentral:lncRNA from 1 species
UAACAGAGAUGAAAGUUUUAUAACGGUAAGGCUGGAAUAGGAGGCAUGGCCAGGGACAACACUAGAGAGUUCGUCUUUGCAUUUGCUAUUACCAUUCGGUGUAAAGAUCAUAUGCUACUGAGGAAACAACUGCUAAGUAUGUUGUUCAACGGCUGAAGAAUAAUGCACAUCAGCAGGGCAUUAUUGAUUGGAAUUCUUGAUUGUG